GAUGAACGCUGGCGGCGUGCCUAAUACAUGCAAGUCGAGCGAACGGACGAGAAGCUUGCUUUUCUGAGUUUAGCGGCGGACGGGUGAGUAAAACGUGGAUAACCUACCUAUAAGACUGGGAUAACUUCGGGAAACCGGGGCUAAUACCGGAUAAUAUUUUGAACGCCAUGGUUCAAAAGUGAAAGACGGUCUUCCUUUCACUUAUAGAUGGAUCCGCGCUGCAUUAGCUAGUUGGUAAGUUAACGGCUUACCAAGGCAACGAUGCAUAGCCGACCUGAGAGGGUGAUCGGCCACACUGGAACUGAGACACGGUCCAGACUCCUACGGGAGGCAGCAGUAGGGAAUCUUCCGCAAUGGGCGAAAGCCUGACGGAGCAACGCCGCGUGAGUGAUGAAGGUCUUCGGAUCGUAAAACUCUGUUAUUAGGGAAGAACAUAUGUGUAAGUAACUGUGAACAUCUUGACGGUACCUAAUCAGAAAGCCACGGCUAACUACGUG
rnacentral:rRNA from 1 species